rnacentral:rRNA from 1 species
AUGCUCUGCCUCUCGCCGCGCGCGCCGUGCCUCCCCGGUCCACACGCAAAGGCCCCGCCCUCCGCCGGCGCCGGCGACAAUGCCCACCGCCUGACGCUCCGCGCGGCGCCGCGGCGAUGGCGGCUCGCGAGGCACCGCGGCUGCUCGGCCGCCGCGCCCGUGCCCGUGCCGGCGCCGCGGACGACCGCGGAGCGGUGGGGGUCCCUGCGGGAGAUGCGGCGGGUGUGGUGGGUGUGCGGGGCCGGGUACUGGGUGCAGGGGUUCCGGUGCUUCCCGUGGCUGGCGCUCAACUUCCACCUCACCCGCGGGCUCGGGCUCAGCCCCGUCGCGCUGCAGCUGGUGCAGAACGCCGGCAGCCUCCCGCUGGUCGCCAAGCCGCUCUUCGGCGUCCUCUCCGACGCCGUCUACAUCGGCCGCGAGCACCGCCUCCCCUACAUCUCCAUCGGAGCAUUACUACAGCUUACUGCUUGGGGAACACUUGCGAUCAUGCCAGUUACGGGCGACACAUUUCCAACUCACAUGAUAUGCAUUCUGAUUGGAAAUCUUGGAGCAUCCGUGACGGAAGUUGUAAGCGAUGCGGUUGUCACGGAGUUCAGCAGAACACAGAGGACCGGCGUACUACAGUCUUAUGCAUUCAUAGGUCUGGCAGCUGGAGCCCUCCUAGGAAACUUGUCGGGUGGAUACGUUCUGUUGAGAACGCAGGAACCAAAGAUUAUGUUCACAGCAUUCUCUGUCCUCCUUGGCCUCCAACUAGCACUCUCCAUAGGCACAAAGGAAACACUGCCAAGCUCCCAUGGAAACUCCAGAAGCCUUCUUGUCAAAAGCUCUUUGUGGGCCAAUCUUCGCAAGCAAUUCUCAAACCUGAUGACAGCGGUCCGCGAGGAAAGGAUAUUCUACCCACUUGCAUGGAUCAUGACCUCGUUUGCUGUCGUGCCUGUUCUCUCUGGAACCAUGUUCUGCUUUCAAACACAGCAUCUGAAGCUCGAUUCAUCGAUCAUCGGUCUUUCCAAGGUCAUGGGACAGGUCAUGGUCGUCUCUCUAACCGUCCUCUACAACCGCUAUCUCAAAAGGAUUCCCUUGAGGCGACUCGUGUGCGGAGUUCAGAUAAUGUAUGCUUUCGCGGUGCUGUCGGAACUGAUCCUGGUGAAGCAAGUGAACCUUAUGUUGGGGAUACCAAAUGAGGUAUAUGUGCUUUGUUUCUCGGCUCUCGCCGAAGCGAUCGCGCAGUUCAAGGUCCUGCCGUUCUCGAUCUUGUUGUCAAGCCUCUGCCCCCCUGGCUGCGAAGGUUCGCUCUUCGCCUUCUUCACCUCUGGAUUGGUCUUUUCGGCAAUUCUAAGUGGUGUGUUUGGGGUUGGACUGUCUGCCCUGAUUGGGCUGUCCUCUGGGGGCUACUCAAGCUUGCCUCUGGGUAUUCUGCUGCAAAGUUUGGCCGCAUUGUUACCUUUGGCGUGGCUGUCUUUUGUGCCUGAAAACUGGACUGCCGACGGGAAGAUUGUAAAGCAAAGAUAA